GAAGGUGAUGCCUGCCCGGUGACCCAACGUUUAACGGCCGCGGUAUCCUAACCGUGCAAAGGUAGCGCAAUCAAUUGUCCCAUAAAUCGAGACCAGUAUGAAUGGCUAAACGAGGUCUUAACUGUCUCUUGCAGGCAAUCGGUGAAAUUGAUCUCCCUGUGCAAAAGCAGGGAUAAACCCAUAAGACGAGAAGACCCUGUGGAACUUUAAAAACAGCAGCCACCCCAAAUAACAUAACCCCCCAUUGGGCUCACUCACACAUAAGCCACUGGCCUGCAUUUUUUCGGUUGGGGCGACCUUGGAGAAAAACAAAUCCUCCAAAAAUUAGACCACACCUCUAGACUAAGAGCAACCCCUCAACGUGCUAAUAGCACCCAGACCCAAUAUAAUUGAUCAAUGGACCAAGCUACCCCAGGGAUAACAGCGCAAUCUCCUUUAAGAGUCCAUAUCGACAAGGAGGUUUACGACCUCGAUGUUGGAUCAGGACAUCCUAGUGGUGCAGAAGCUACUAAGGGUUCGUUUGUUCAACGAUUAACAGUCCU
rnacentral:rRNA from 1 species